GAUAAAGCAGACAAUUUAAAAGUGACUCAGGUGACUUGCUUUUUUUUUUUUUUGCCUCCAGGAAUAGCACUGGGGCUUGGUGCUUAUACUACGAAUCCACAGCUUCUGGUGGACAUUUUUUUAAUUGGAUAGGAUACAAAGAAAUUGAGAGAGGAGAGGGAGAGAGAAAAAUAGAAACCUGAAGACCUGCUUCUCCACUUGUGAAGCAUUCCCCGUGCAGGUGGAGAGCCAGGGGCUUGAAGACAGAUCCCUAUGCAGAGCUUGAAGGAGUCAUGUUAAUGAGAUAAACCAGAAAGAGAAGGAUGAAUAUUGGAUGAUCUCACUCAUGUGCAGAAGUUGAGAAACAAGAACAGAAUGUUGUCAUGGAGCUUGGUUCCAGCACUACAAAUCCACCAUUCCAUGGUCCAGGAGGUGGCACAGUGGAUAAAAACACUGGACUCUCAAGCAUGAGGUCCUGAGUUCAAAUCCCAACAGCAUAUGUACCAAAGUGAUGUCUGAUUCUUUAUCUC